rnacentral:rRNA from 1 species
UACGUAGGGGGCGAGCGUUGUCCGGAGUUACUGGGCGUAAAGGGCACGCAGGCGGUGCGGCGCGUUUCGCGUGACAGCGGAGGGCUUAACUCUCCGAGGAUGCGAAAGACGGCGGCACUUGAGGGCCAGAGAGGGACACGGAAUUCCAGGUGGAGUGGUGAAAUGCGUAGAGAUCCGGAGGAACACCGAAGGCGAAGGCAGUGUCCUGGCUGGUGACUGACGCUGAGGUGCGAAAGCUAGGGGAGCGAACGGG